rnacentral:rRNA from 1 species
UUCCAGCUCCAAUAGCGUAUAUUAAAGUUGUUGCAGUUAAAAAGCUCGUAGUUGGAUUUCAAGAAACGCAUCUGGGCAACCAGUUUGCUUUCUACCAGUCUUUGACUGUUACUGUGAGAAAAUUAGAGUGUUUCAAGCAGGCAAUUGCAGGAAUACAUUAGCAUGGAAUAACGAAUGUAUCUACAAUUUGGUUGAUUGUAGAAUACGAUUAAUAGGGACAGUUGGGGGCAUUAGUAUUUAAUUGUCAGAG